rnacentral:misc_RNA from 1 species
UCUCUAGUUGAAGAAAUGAUGGGUUGUCUAUUGGACUGUGACCCGGGUUUGACUUGUGAGCUGGUGAAGAACUAUAUAUCACCUACUGCUUCUUGCCCUAGUCAUUAUGUUGGUGUUAUCAUUGGCGAACCUUCAUCAACUCCAUAUCUUGGAUACAUUGAUGAUGUUUCCAGGUUUAUAUGGAACUUUUUGGCUGAUAGAACUGCUAUUCCAAUGGAGAAGACUAGCUCUGAUUGCUCAAAAGGUUGCAGCAACAAAGAUGAAGUCUGCAUUAGGGCAGAAACAAAUGGAAAGAAAGGGGGUCUGUGUUAUUUCUACCCUAAUGCAGACUUCAUCUUUGUUGCUG